AACUCCCAACCUCAGGUGAUCUGCCCACCUUGGGAUUUGCCUCCCAAAGUGUUGGGAUUAUAGGCGUGAGCCAGUACGCCCAGCCUAACAAAUUCUAAAAGAGCUGUAACACUGACAGUCUCUUCAUGGUCCCAGUUAUUUCCAAAAGGGCACGUUCUGCUCUGGUUCCUUCUGGUGGGUUAGCAACAGGGCAGAUCCACUAGAAUACAGCUCUCAAAAUCUACUGCACAUGGACUCACCCAAAGUGCUUUACAAAAAUCCUGAUCCCAGGCCACAUUCCAGAUCACUUACAUUUGAACCUCAGGUCCAAACUCAGGCAUCAGCAUUUAAAACAUUCCUCAGGUGACUCCCAACAUGCAGCUGAUUUGCCAGCCAGCCCUCUGCAGUCUGGAUCAAAGGUUCUCAACAUGAGGUCCCUGAACCAGCGGCUGCUUUGCUAAGAACUGGGAACUUGUGGGAAAGGCAGCGUCUCAGACCCCACCCCAGAUCUACUGAAUCAGAAACUCUGGGGGUGGGGCCAGCACUUUGUUUCAACAAGCCCUCCAGGAGACUCUGAGGCACUAGUCUGGUCCAGUGGGUCUCAAACUUGACUGCAACAAAUGGCCCAGAGAUCUUUUUGAAGUGUAGAGUCUGACUCAGCAGGUGUGGGUGGAGCUGAGAGGCCAGCAAGAUCCCAGGUGGGGCCGAGGCUGCUCAUCCUCCUACCACAUUUUGAGUAGCAAGGAGCUACCAAGAGCAGCCGACGGGGUUUCAUUCUCGUCUACUGGAAGCAACCUUAAUAGACAACUGAAAAACAAAACAAAACAACUGAGAUACCUGUUUCUGCCAGAAAACCCAGGCCAUUCACUGGUCAGCUGUUCCAAAACCAGAGUUAAGCUACUGCAGCUGUUCCCGCGUGCCUGCCUGCAUUCCAGUAAAUAAUCCCACGUGGCAAGUCAGCUCACCUGGUUACUGCCAAAGCAUGUUCCCAGCUGGUGUGACUCAGAGGCACACCAGAAUUUCUUUAUUAUAAUUUGGCGAUAGGGUCUUGCUUUGCCACGCAGGCUGGAGUGCCGUGGUCCGAUCACAGUUCACUACAGCCUUGAACUCCUGGGCUCAAGUGAUCUUCCUGCCUUAGACUCCCAAGUAGCUGAGAUUAUAGGCACACGCCACCACACCCAGCUAAUUUAAAAAUAUUUUUGUAGAGACCAGGUCUCACUAUGUUGCCUGGUUUGGUAUCAAACUCCUGGCCUUAAGGGAUCCUCCUGCCUCGGCCUCCCAAAGUGCCAGGAUUAUAGGUGUGAGCCAUCAUGCCCAGCCAGAGCACCAGAAAUAGCUCCCAACUGUAGAAGGAGCCUCCCUGUAGCGCUGUUGGCUCCCUCCUUCCUGUGGAGUCUCCACAGCAGUCCCUCCCCACCAUGAGGCCAGAGAGGCUAACAGCUUUGCUGUCACCCAACAGAAAUGCUUUAAGUACUGACCACUGCUGGAGGGAAAGGCUACCGCUAACACUUGGGAUGUUUUCUGACAGCCUCUGAAACUUCUACGAACUGCUGAGGCAUAGGAUCCUCUCCUAAAAUUUCUCCCAGAUCUUAACGUCAGGGCUGUCUGGCCCUUUCAUGAGUAUGUGGGUUAUAGUCUCUGGCAGGCACUUGUGAAGAGUGUGACUGAUUGACACUUUUUUGCCUUGGUUGCUGGGAAGCUCAGAUCUCCCCUCUGCAUGUCCCUUGCUUAGGACCUCCCAUGGUGUACUUGGAGUUGGGACCUCACCUGGCUCUCCCUUAUCUUUCCGGCUGCCAUUUUUUCCCCUUUCUAACUUUCUUUCCCAUACACUUAUUUGAAAUAUUAUCUCACGGUAACGAAAUAAAGUGUCUGUCACCUCCUGCUGUGUUGUCAUCUUGCAUGAGCUAUCUAAGUUCUCUGUUCUUCAGUUUCUGCAUCUGUAAAACGAUGACAAUGACAGAGCCAACCUCGCUUUGAGGAUCACAUGAGUUAAUAAAGGCCUGGCACACAGUUAGCACUCAAUAAAUGUUAGUUAUGAUUUUU
rnacentral:lncRNA from 1 species